CAGACUUUUUAUUCUUGUGAUUAGAUUUUAUAUUACAGAGUCUGCACCCUCCUAUUUAGGAAUCUGAAAACAGAUAUUUUCUGGUUUACACUGAGUCUUGAAUAUCUCUUCAGCUGCUUCCUAAUGUUUGUUCCACAGGAAGGGAGCUAGUUCAUAGCAUACAUAGUGUGCUUUGUUGUAUCUGCAUCAGCAAAGUAGAUAAGCUCAGCCUCUCUUCAUCUGAAAAGGGAACAGAGGAGCAGCAGCAGGAGACAGUGCAAUGCUUCAGGAUAUUGUGAAGAUUUCAGGCAACAAGACGACUUUCAGCUGUAUCCAACACUCCAGCUGUGUUUGAUUUGCCUCUUAAUCAGAGAUUUCAAAAAUCAGGCUCCAUCUGCUAAAGAAUUCAAAGAUCCUGGAUUUGAGAGGCUAUUUAUGAACAUCAAACUGUGGUCCAUUUCUCCCUGGAGUAUCAUGCAGAUGUGCAGCUGCACAGCUGCAGCUCUUCAACACCAGUGGAAGUGUGAGCUAUCCACAGACACCAGUAAAAAGCCAGGCCCAUGCAGGCCACACAAGGACCUGCAUCUAUAUCCAGAGCAAAAACUCCACAGUUGUCUCAAGGGAGCAAAGUUUCUCUCAUGCCUGAUUCAUAACCAGAAGAGAAUUUCUCAGAAAUUGGAUUUUAGCAUUUGUCAGCCACAAGUUGUCAACCAAGCCUAUUUUCUCCUGGAGGUACUGUUUACCUUUCUCAGUGUAUGA
rnacentral:lncRNA from 1 species